rnacentral:lncRNA from 1 species
GCUUUGCCCAGUAACCAGGUGAUGUGUCUUUUCUGGCAGGUCUUUUCCCACAGGGAGCACUGUGAAACAUCACUGGGCUCAGCCACCAGGUUAUGUGACUCUUCUGCCUGUGCCCUGCUUCCAGAAAAUAUUGUGACAUCCCUCAUACAGCAUCCAGGUGAUGUGACUCUUCUGCUCAUUUUCUACUUACAGGAGACAUGCCCAAAAAAGGGAUUGUGGCAUAUCUCUGAGCCCAGCACCCAAAUGUUGUGACUCUCCUGCCUGAGCUGUGCCUAGAGAAAAUAUUAUAAUAUGUCACUGGACCCUGCAUGCAAGUGAUCCAAUUCUCCAGUCUGGGCCUUGCCCAUAGAGGAGAUUGAGACAUAUUCCAGGUGAAGAAUUCAGGUGGAUGGUGACUCUAAGACCAGGAUUCAACACACUUAGAAGGCUUUGACUCUGAUACCAGUCACAGAAGGCUCUGUGAGUCUUCUAUUUUCUCUAGGUCAUGCAAAUGGAGGCGGAUUUUGACAUAUCAUAAAGCCAACAUAAUACACAGUCUACAGGUGGAAUUGGGACUCUCAUGCAUGGAUCCAGUUCAUCAUUGAUACUGUGACUCAUGUACUUGGAUGCAACUCACAGGAGGUGUUGACGCUUUUACCUGAAGCUGGGACAUGUGUGGAAUUGUGAAUCUUAGCCCUAGAUCUUCCCACAGGUAUGAUUGUGACAUAUACUUUUGCCUAGCACCUGAGUGAUUUUAC